AAAGUUGACGAGCCUAAAAUUCUGUUUGGCAAAAAUAGCGGUUGGCUGAUAAGCUAGCUGAUAGCUUAUGGCUGAUGACUGGUGUCUGAUGGCUGAUAACUUCUAGAUGAUAAGCCGAUUGAAGUGUUCGGUAAAAUUAGCGGUUCAACUGACUGUUAAAUGUAAAAUGACAUAAAAGGACAUCUUUAAUUCAAUAAUUUUUUUUGGAUCAAUUUUGGUAAAAAAAAUUGUCUUAUAAGCCAUAUUAUAUAUGAAGGCUAGCUUAUAAGGUAAAAGACAAAAGUUAUAAUCUAGCUUUUUUGGCUUGCCAAAUAGACCUUAAGUCGUCCUCAAGUGUCCAUACGAAAGGACAAUACAGGUGUUAUCAGUGGUAGAUCCACUCCACAUGAGGGACCCCACGGUACUGUAAACCCUAAUAUUCUUCCUAUAAAUAUGGUCAUACAUCAAUCCCUAGGUAUGACAUUCUGCGCCUCCAUUUACACUCUUUCAAAACUUCUUUCAUAUACUGACUGCAAGUACCAUUCCCCUUCUCAUGCAACGGCCGGAAUCGUCAAGCUCAUCAACAUCAACAACACUCUACCACUAGCCGAGACGUCGCAGUUCAGAAGUCGACGUUGCCAGCUCAAAUCAAUUUUGAACGCCUAGUUCACUACUAUUAUAUAUAUAUAUAUAUAUAUAUAUAU
rnacentral:lncRNA from 1 species